CCUACGGGGCGCUGCAGUGGGGAAUAUUGGACAAUGGGCGAAAGCCUGAUCCAGCCAUGCCGCGUGUGUGAAGAAGGCCUUCGGGUUGUAAAGCACUUUCAGUGGGGAAGAAAGCCUUGGGGCUAAUACCCUCGAGGAAGGACAUCACCCACAGAAGAAGCACCGGCUAACUCCGUGCCAGCAGCCGCGGUAAUACGGAGGGUGCGAGCGUUAAUCGGAAUGACUGGGCGUAAAGCGCGCGUAGGCGGUCUGAUAAGCCGUGUUGUGAAAGCCCCGGGCUCAACCUGGGAACGGCAUCCGGAACUGUCAGGCUAGAGUGCAGGAGAGGAAGGUAGAAUUCCCGGUGUAGCGGUGAGAUGCGUAGAGAUCGGGAGGAAUACCAGCGGCGAAGGCGGCCUUCUGGACUGACACUGACGCUGAGGUGCGAAAGCGUGGGUAGCGAACAGGAUUAGAUACCCCUGUAGUC
rnacentral:rRNA from 1 species